rnacentral:rRNA from 1 species
GAUGAACGCUGGCGGCGUGCCUAAUACAUGCAAGUCGAGCGAACAGACGAGGAGCUUGCUCCUCUGAUGUUAGCGGCGGACGGGUGAGUAACACGUGGAUAACCUACCUAUAAGACUGGGAUAACUUCGGGAAACCGGAGCUAAUACCGGAUAACAUGUUGAACCGCAUGGUUCAACAGUGAAAGACGGUCUUGCUGUCACUUAUAGAUGGAUCCGCGCCGCAUUAGCUAGUUGGUAAGGUAACGGCUUACCAAGGCAACGAUGCGUAGCCGACCUGAGAGGGUGAUCGGCCACACUGGAAAUGAGACACGGUCCAGACUCCUACAGGAGGCAGCAGUAGGGAAUCUUCCGCAAUGGGCGAAAGCCUGACGGAGCAACGCCGCGUGAGUGAAGAAGGUCUUAGGAUCGUAAAACUCUGUUAUUAGGGAAGAACAAAUGUGUAAGUAGCUAUGCACGUCUUGACGGUACCUAAUCAGAAAGCCACGGCUAACUACGUG